rnacentral:rRNA from 1 species
AUGGCAGUCCCCGGCGGCCGCAACGGCCUCGUCGAGGACGACGACGUCGCCGACCAGGCCGGCGCCUUCGUCGCCCCCUCCGACGACGAGGAGGCGCCGCUGCCCCCCCACCUCCAGGCUCUCUCCGACGCCGCCCAGAACGGCGACGUCAACGCCCUCCGCACCGCGCUCGAUAACUAUGGUGGCAGCAUUGAUGAUCCAGUUGAAGAUGGUGAUACUGUGCUUCACCUGGCAUGCUUAUAUGGACAUCUACCUUGCGUGCAGCUACUGCUGGAACGUGGAGCAAACUUAGAGUGCAAAGAUGAAGAAGGGGCAAUUCCUCUCCAUGAUGCUUGUGCUGGAGGCUUCACUGAGAUAGUUCAGUACAUUCUCAGUUUUGCUGCAAAUGCUGAGGGUUGUGCAACGCGAAUGCUCAACACCGUUGAUGCUGAAGGCGAUACUCCACUCCACCAUGCUGCCAGAGGGGAACACAUGGACACCGUCAAGCUUCUGCUCGAAGCUGGCGCAUGUCCCAAGAAGGAGAAUGCCUACGGGCAGGCAGCCGCCGAGAUGGCCGAUCAAGAUACCGAAGUCCGGGCCCUGUUAACCGCCAAGCAAGUCGAGGCCAGCAUACAUAUGGCGGACUGA